ACAUACAUUUUAUUAUUUUAUUAUUAUUAUUAUUAUUAUAUUUAUUAAUUUUAUUUUAUUUUUAUAUUAUAUUAUUAUUAUACAUUUUAUUAUUAUAUUUAAUAAUACAAAUUAAAAUAUGAUGGGUGUGUGUGUGUGUGUGUGUGUGUGUGUGUGAUACAACACUGGACAGGCCUACGCCUACAAGGACAACUGGCCUGCCUGCCCUGUGCUGACCAGAACCUAUCACACACAGUUUUGAAAAACACAGCCCUACAAGACGACAUUUACAGAUUUACAAUUAAAGCUCGUCUUCAGGUACUACCAACAAAGUCCAACUUAGCAACCUGGUUUCCAUCUGCACAUGAGCCGUUCUGCCUGCAACAUCACAGCCGGCAAAGAGAGACGAUCGCGCACAUCCUUAACGGCUGCUCUGCCUAUAAAGGACUGUACAUCGCGCGCCACGACCGUAUCGUUGCACUCUCAGCGAAGGAGCUCAGAGACAAUGUCAGCCAUACCACAAUCCACUGUAACGAAAAGAUCAAGACAGACUGGUUCCCUCUUCCACAUGAACAGUGCGUUACAUUGGAAACUGCUACAAAUCACUUACCAAAUACACCGGAUAUAUUUGUAAUUAAUGAACACACCAAAGCUGUUACAAUAAUAGAAAUCGGUUGCUCUUUUGAUGCCUACAUGGACACCUGCUAUGCUUCAAAACUGUUGAAAUACCAACCAUGGUACAAUGUUUUUAAUAACUUUGGCUACUCUUGUAAAGUCAUUGCCCUCAUUUUUGGUAGUUUAGGCCAUGUGCACAAGUUGUGUGUAAGAGGCCUGCAGAUCUGUGGACUACAUAAGAACAAGGCCAAAAAACUGACGAGAUAUUGCUCUGUAUCAGCAGUAAUCGGUAGCCUCUACAUAUGGAGGCGCAGGUGCCACCUUUACCCUUAAUGUGCAAAAUGGACUGAGAUAUUGGCUGCUGUUGUACAUCUUUCUGUCAAAUUUGGAUUAAGUCAUGAUAUAUGCUUAUCUUUUAAUCCAAAUAAAGAAUUUAUGUGUGUGUGUGUGUGUGUAUAAACACAUACAUAUAUUAAAUACAUCAGCUGAUGAAUCAAGAACAGUCUUAACCAAAGUUUAAUGAAAUGGUACAAAAGAGACAGACAUAUUAAUAGAAUAACUCAGUGAGAUCAUGUUGAGAUAAUAUUCAUUCAUUCAUUCAUUCAUUCAUUUUUUAAAAA
ensembl:lncRNA